CUAUCGGCUUCCAUGAAAUUUUUGGGACAAAACACUAGCGCCAAAGUAAAGUUGGCGAACAAGACUUCAACUUCAAAUUUGGAAAAUCAUCACGUACGCUUUUCCAUAAAAUAUAAAACAGUAUGCGUCGGCGUUUUUGUUUAUAUCGCAGAUUUUGCUCGUUCAAAUUUUAACAUUUGUACUUCUCCGGAAGAAACCAAAUUAGAAUCUACCGAAAGGAUUGGCGGAAGUGCCGAUGGGGCAAAAAAUGGACGAGGAUGCAUCGAUGGGUUUCGACCGGACAAACUGUUCCAGUCGUGUAACCAUAAAGCUUAUUGAUAAUCGAAGGAGAAGCCCCCAAUCUGAUCAGGACAAGAAAAAAUUUCCGACUAUAAUAUUAUUCGGGAAUCAUUGGGAAACAUUCCGCGUUCGCAAUGUCCGGGUGCCGAAAAAAGAGCCGUAAAGCCCGAGCUGUUGCCGUCAGUGCCGCCGCUAAUCCAAGAAAAGCAAACGGAGAUGAUAGAAGCACCCAAGCUCAGAGAAUCAUCUGAAGCAACGGUCCCGUUAACAGAAUUCAGCAAGACCUGCGCCAUUCUCCCCGUGCUCUGCUGCGCUCGUCACGUCUCUAUGGAGCCAAUAAGUGCGCAACUGUUGGAGCCUGGAGCUGCUGCCACUAUAUUUCUUUAAUUUUAUAAUAAACUGA